rnacentral:rRNA from 1 species
ACAGAGGUCCCAAGCGUUGUUCGGAUUCACUGGGCGUAAAGUGUGCGCAGGUGGCCGCGCAUGUCGAGUGUGAAAUCCCCGGGCUUAACUUGGGAAUUGCGCUCGAAACUACGUGGCUGGAGUGUGGCAGAGGAAGGUGGAAUUCCAGGUGUAGCGGUGAAAUGCGUAGAGAUCUGGAGGAACACCGAUGGCGA